rnacentral:rRNA from 1 species
UACGUAGGGUGCAAGCGUUAAUCGGAAUUACUGGGCGUAAAGCGUGCGCAGGCGGUGAUGUAAGACAGAUGUGAAAUCCCCAGGCUCAACCUGGGAACUGCAUCCGAUACUGGAUGGCUUGAAUCCGGGAGAGGGAUGCAGAAUUCCAGGUGUAGCGGUGAAAUGCGUAGAUAUCUGGAGGAAUACCGGUGGCGAAGGCGGCAUCCUGGACCGGCAUUGACGCUGAGGAGCGAAAGCUAGGGGAGCAAACGGG